rnacentral:rRNA from 1 species
CACGUAGGGUGCGAGCGUUGUCCGGAAUUAUUGGGCGUAAAGAGCUCGUAGGCGGUGUGUCGCGUCGGCCGUGAAAACUCACAGCUCAACUGUGGGCGUGCGGGCGAUACGGGCAGACUAGAGUACUGCAGGGGGACGACUGAAUUCCUGGUGUAGCGGUGGAAUGCGCAGAUAUCAGGAGGAACACCGGUGGCGAAGGCGGGGUCUCUGGGCAGUAACUGACGCUGAGGAGCGAAAGCGUGGGG